GACGAACGCUGGCGGCGUGCCUAAUACAUGCAAGUUGAGCGAUGAAGAUUGGUGCUUGCACCAAUUUGAAGAGCAGCGAACGGGUGAGUAACGCGUGGGGAAUCUGCCUUAGAGCGGGGGACAACAUUUGGAAACGAAUGCUAAUACCGCAUAACAACUUUAAACAUAAGUUUUAAGUUUGAAAGAUGCAAUUGCAUCACUCAAAGAUGAUCCCGCGUUGUAUUAGCUAGUUGGUGAGGUAAAGGCUCACCAAGGCGAUGAUACAUAGCCGACCUGAGAGGGUGAUCGGCCACAUUGGGACUGAGACACGGCCCAAACUCCUACGGGAGGCAGCAGUAGGGAAUCUUCGGCAAUGGACGAAAGUCUGACCGAGCAACGCCGCGUGAGUGAAGAAGGUUUUCGGAUCGUAAAACUCUGUUGGUAGAGAAGAACGUUGGUGAGAGUGGAAAGCUCAUCAAGUGACGGUAACUACCCAGAAAGGGACGGCUAACUACGUG
rnacentral:rRNA from 1 species